CACGGGGGGAGCAAGCGUUGUUCGGAUUCAUUGGGCGUAAAGAGCUCGUAGGCGGCUCUGUAAGUCGGGAGUGAAAGACCACGGCUCAACCGUGGAAACGCUUUCGAAACUGCGGAGCUUGAGGCCGGGAGAGGAGAUCGGAAUUCCUGGUGUAGCGGUGAAAUGCGUAGAUAUCAGGAGGAACACCGGUGGCGAAGGCGGAUCUCUGGACCGGUUCUGACGCUCAGGAGCGAAAGCUAGGGGAGCAAACAGGAUUAGAUACCCUGGUAGUCCUAGCUGUAAACGAUGGGCACUAGGUGUGGGGGGAUCGACCCCUUCCGUGCCGCAGUUAACGCAUUAAGUGCCCCGCCUGGGGAGUACGACCGCAAGGUUGAA
rnacentral:rRNA from 1 species